rnacentral:sRNA from 1 species
UUACUGCCACGAUGGUAAUGGCAUCCUUAAAAUGAAAACAGCGUUCAGCACGUUUACAUUUUAAGAUAAAAUGGACAGCGUGAGUGAAU